UUCACAACCCUGGGUUUAGCAGGCCAAUGCUCAAACCACUGAGCUAUCCCUCCCCCACGCUAGAACAGCAGUGCCCACACUGAUUGGUAUGAAAAACAGCAAGAAGUUGAGUGGACUUCCUAAGGGCUGUAGUCUGCCCCAAAUGAAACUCUGAGCCCCACAGACCUUCUGACACUGAGCACAUGAAGAAGGGCCUCAUGGAGAGGAACAGAAGGCAUGACAAAUGUUGGCAGGAUGACAAACUCAAUGGAGUGGAACUCUCAGACCACUGUGGGGAGGACUCUUCAAUGAUUCCACAGCAGCACCUUAAACCUGGUGUAAACUGGAUUGGUCAUGACAGCCUGAAGCUCACUCCUGCUGUGAGCUGAAAGGACUCCCAGCAAGAAAGCAACCUUCCAUGCAAGAUAAUUAAGCUCACAGGAACUGAAUGGCUCAAAAGAAACUUUCAUGAGCUUUGUCAGGGUGACAUCAUUCUCCCCUAACACGGGAGGCUGUUUAACAUGAGGUUUCAAAUGUCAAACACUGCCUCAACCUGACAACAAGGAUCUCCUAAGCCUCUAAUUGGCUUAUUUUGAGAACCUCACCUCCCAUAUCACCGUGCACUGAUCUCCUUUGAAUCAGUUCAUGACAGGCUAAAAUAGCUGCCAAAUGUACGAGGAUGGAGCUGGCCUUUAUAUCAGGAGGCAGGCAAGUAGUCUAUCCACAUGCGUCAAAGGGCAAAAAGAAAAAACAGGAGCUAACUGGGGCCGGAAUGCACCACAAACUUCCUUAAUUUGUAAUUACAGAUGGCUUCCAAGACACCAGAAGGACCUGAGCCACCUGCCUAGAUAUCCCAUGCCUGCAGAGCUCUACCCUCAGAAGUGCAGCUGCCAGUUUGGGAGAGAGAUUCCCUGCAUCACAUGUGCAAAAAAAAGUGCCAGUUCAGAACAGCAAAUUUCAGCCCAACAUGGAUAUCUACAGACAACUUUAAAACUCCAGAAAAUAAGAGACAACAGAAACUGAAGAGAGUUGAUAAUGAUUAAAGGCUUGACAAGGGGGACUUGGAGUCUGCGUGGACUUGUCGCAACUCAUAGGCGCAGGACUCCUGUCUGUGUCG